CACAGGUGCUGCAUGGCUGUCGUCAGCUCGUGUCGUGAGAUGUUGGGUUAAGUCCCGCAACGAGCGCAACCCUUGUCAUUAGUUGCUACGCAAGAGCACUCUAAUGAGACUGCCGGUGACAAACCGGAGGAAGGUGGGGAUGACGUCAAGUCCUCAUGGCCCUUAUGGGUAGGGCUUCACACGUCAUACAAUGGUCGGGACAGAGGGUCGCCAACCCGCGAGGGGGAGCCAAUCUCAGAAACCCGAUCGUAGUCCGGAUCGCAGUCUGCAACUCGACUGCGUGAAGUCGGAAUCGCUAGUAAUCGCGGAUCAGAAUGUCGCGGUGAAUACGUUCCCGGGUCUUGUACACACCGCCCGUCACACCAUGGGAGUGGGUUUCACCAGAAGUAGGUAGCCUAACCGUAAGGAGGGCGCUUACCACGGU
rnacentral:rRNA from 1 species